UGGGGCCCCACCUGACACCCCACCUGGGGGCAGAAGAGACAGCAAGCGCCGAGCUCACACCCCAGGCCCCCUGCCCUCCUGGCCCUGGGCCUGGUCAGCAGCCCGGGGCACAGAGGGUCCACCCUGGCCCUCCUGGCUCAGGCCCCAGCCCUUCCCACUGGGAGGGCCCUCCUCUGAGCCCCGCCCUUGAGGACAGAGAGAAGGAGUGAGCUGCGGGAAGGUCUGCUGAUGCCUGCCCUUCUGGGGCAAUCCUGGCGCCCAUGCCACCCUCUGUAGCCCCAGCCACCCCUGGACGGAAGGUGCACAGAACCUGGGGAGCAGCCACGUGGCACCAGAAUGGCUGGGGAAACCCUGCACGCGUUAGAGGGGCGAGCCACACCAGCUGCCGGUCACAGGUAAAGCUCCCGCUGAUGCGACUGGAACCAGGAAAAGCCUUUCUGAAUCACACAGGGUCCUCCAUGUGCUUAUAGGAAGUGACAGAUUCGACCACAUGGAAAUCAAGUACUUGCUUGGGGAGGAAUACCCAGAUCAAACUUAAAAGCAAAUGUGAAACUGUGGGAAAAUAUUUCCAGUUCUAAUGUCCUUAAUGGGUGAGGAGUUCCUAUAGAUCAGUUUCUUAGAGGGCAAAAGGAUAGGAAAUGAUACGAACAGUUAGUUCACGAUAAAAAGAAAGACUGGUAAAAUAUGCUUGUUCACCUCACUAAGAGAUGUGCAGACUGAAAGCAGAGCAACGUGGCUGUGCAUCUCUCACCGCAAGGGAAGGUCUGCGGGUCAAGGAACCUUGGAGGGUUCUGGCCGGGCAUCCAUGGCUACCAUGAACACACAGCUGGAGCUCAGAGCACAGAGGAGACGGACGCACCCUCUGAGGCAGGAGGGUAAGUGCUUGGAGCCCCCGUACACCUGGGUGCAUCGUCGCAUCGGAGCAGGGGUGCCAUCACUAAGGAACCCUAAUAAAUCACUAUGGACCCACUAAGUGCACAGCACACAGCCUGAACAAAGACUCACCCUGGAAGGAUGUGAGGAAGAUUCUGAAGACCGCUAAGUGGAGAGGACACGCAGUCACGCUACGGGAGACAUAGUGGAUGUGCUAGACAACUGUGGUGCACCACCUCCAUUCUGGAAGCACAAUGGCUGGACUCCAGGAGGGGGACCCAGGGGUGGUGGGAGAGGACAGACCCAGCUGAGGCCACAGGGUGACACGACCCUCCCUCACAGGCAAGACACCUUCAAAGUAAAAGGCUCAGAACGAUCCUGACCUGUGACCUUGGGUCCCACCAUGGGUUGGAAUGCCAGUGACCCCACAGCUCUGCCCACUGCUUUCACCCACUCUGCUUCAUGUCCGUAGGCAGUUGGAAGCCCCCAAGGGUCUGUGAUCCUCACUUGACUUCCUUGCUCAAACCCACCCAACCCAACCCUAGUCCAUCAUUAGAGACAAGGCACAGCUCCAGCAGCACGGGGUCAGAAAGGCAUGAGUGGACCCUCGGUGUGAACGGGGACGAUGCGGCCCUUCCUCUGCGCUGUGUUCGGAACUGUGGACGAGAGACCCUCAGCUGCACAGGGCCCUGAGGUUGCACGCAUCCUUCCCCCGGCCAGUGCCCUCCGGGUCGGCCGUGUCCCCUGGGCAGAUCCCCAGCGAGAACCUGCUGCAAGAUCAGUGGCAUCACAGAGUCUGUGGUCUCUUGUGUCUGAUUUCCUCCACUGAGCAGCGUGGGCACCCAUGGCGGAGCCGGGGUCAGCAUUUCCUGUCCACAGUCCGGAGGGGCUGCCGUCACUCCCUGGUCUCACGUUGCUGGGAGGAGCCGCUCCGUGUGAUCUGGAUUUGCACGCGUCCAAUGGCCUUGCUCUCUAGAGCUGGAUAGACUUUGGAGAAAAGUCUGUCCAUGUCCUCUGUCCAUUUUCUAAUUGAGCUGCUGCUUUUUAUUGUUGAGUUAGGAGUUUUCAUAUAUUCUGUAUGUUAUAUAUAUGUAUUCUGUAUAAUAGGCCCUUUAUUAGAUAGGUGACUCACAAAUAUCUUUAUUCAUUGUGUAGGUUGUCUUUUCAUUUUCUUGAUGGGGUCAUUUGAAGCACAGAAGCUUUUCAUUUUGAUAAAGUCUACUUCAUCAAUUUUUUUCUGUUGCUACUGCUUUUUUUUCCUUAGUCGCACUGUGCAGCAUGUGGGAUCUUAGUUCCCCAACCAGGGAUGGAACCUGUGCCCCCUACAGGGGAAGCGUGCAGUCCUAACCGCAGGGCCACAGGGAAGCACCCUGUCGCUCAGGCAUCCGCUUCAGCAAGGCGUGCUCCUAGAAGCCUCAGGAGUCCCUGCCUGGCACACGUCUGACCUCUCCUUUCCUCACACUCAGGGCCAGGUGCGUGGUGUGCUCUGCUGCGGCUCGGCUCUUCUCCUGGGCCUCCUGGCUCCCUUCCUGUUCCUGCUCAUCUCACUGUGGCAGGGUCUCCCAGGCGGCUGGGAGGGGAGUUGGGAAGUGGAAGUGUUAGGAGUGUGCAUGCAAGCCGUGAUGCGCCAACCUGGGUGCCACCUACCCAGGCGGAGUAGUCUUCUCCCCUGCUGAUCAGACAGACCAGAGCACUUACAACAGGGAGCCAGCUUCACUCAUUUGUUCUCCAAGGCUCUUUGGUGCCCUGGGGUGUUUGGGUUUUCUGUCUUGCAGCAUUGGACAUGGAGAAGCUGGAGACCCUGAUGGCCCUGGAAUGAGCAGAAAUAACAGCCAAAUAUGAGCAAGUGAGGCCUGGCAGGGGUCAGAGCCCAGGACAGGCAGGGCCAGUCAGGGGCUCCAGUGGAACACGGGGAAGAUGCUGACCUCUCGCUGCAGGAAGUCACCACACCUAUACUGUGA